AAUUGCAAGCCUGAAAAGCAGUAAUGCACCGGAUUCCAUCAAAACUCCAAAGUUAAACGUGUUUGAACGAGAAUAGUACUAGAAUGAGUGAACUUUUAGAAAGUUUUCGUGUUGCACCUC
rnacentral:rRNA from 1 species